rnacentral:rRNA from 1 species
UACGUAGGGGGCAAGCGUUGUCCGGAUUUAUUGGGCGUAAAGAGCGUGUAGGCGGCCAGGUAGGUCUGCUGUGAAAACUCGAGGCUUAACCUCGAGCUGUCGGCGGAAACCAUCUGGCUAGAGUCCGGAAGAGGAGAAUGGAAUUCCCGGUGUAGCGGUGAAAUGCGCAGAUAUCAGGAGGAACACCGGUGGCGAAGGCGGGAUCUCUGGGC